rnacentral:rRNA from 1 species
GAGUCGUUGAUUUCACACUGCCAAGAAAAGCCUCUAGCUAGAAUUUUGGUGCCCGUACCGCAAACCGACACAGGUAGUCAAGAUGAGAAUUCUAAGGUGAGCGAGCGAACUCUCGUUAAGGAACUCGGCAAAAUGACCCCGUAACUUCGGGAGAAGGGGUGCUCUUUAGGGUUAACGCCCAGGAGAGCCGCAGUGAAUAGGCCCAAGCGACUGUUUAUCAAAAACACAGGUCUCUGCUAAACCGUAAGGUGAUGUAUAGGGGCUGACGCCUGCCCGGUGCUGGAAGGUUAAGAGGAGUGGUUAGCUUCGGCGAAGCUACGAAUCGAAGCCCCAGUAAACGGCGGCCGUAACUAUAACGGUCCUAAGGUAGCGAAAUUCCUUGUCGGGUAAGUUCCGACCCGCACGAAAGGCGUAACGAUUUGGGCACUGUCUCAACGAGAGACUCGGUGAAAUCAUAGUACCUGUGAAGAUGCAGGUUACCCGCGACAGGACGGAAAGACCCCGUGGAGCUUUACUGUAGUCUGAUAUUGAAAUUCGUCACAGCUUGUACAGGAUAGGUAGGAGCCUUUGAUACGUGAGCGCUAGCUUACGUGGAGGCGUUGUUGGGAUACUACCCUCGCUGUGUUGGAUUUCUAACCCGCACCAUUUAUCAUGGUGGGAGACAGUGUCAGAUGGGCAGUUUGACUGGGGCGGUCGCCUCCUAAAGAGUAACGGAGGCGCUCAAAGGUUUCCUCAGAAUGGUUGGAAAUCAUUCAUAGAGUGUAAAGGCAUAAGGAAGCUUGACUGCGAGACUUACAAGUCGAGCAGGGUCGAAAGACGGACUUAGUGAUCCGGUGGUUCCGCAUGGAAGGGCCAUCGCUCAACGGAUAAAAGCUACCCCGGGGAUAACAGGCUUAUCUCCCCCAAGAGUUCACAUCGACGGGGAGGUUUGGCACCUCGAUGUCGGCUCAUCGCAUCCUGGGGCUGUAGUCGGUCCCAAGGGUUGGGCUGUUCGCCCAUUAAAGCGGUACGCGAGCUGGGUUCAGAACGUCGUGAGACAGUUCGGUCCCUAUCCGUCGUGGGCGUAGGAAAUUUGAGAGGAGCUGUCCUUAGUACGAGAGGACCGGGAUGGACAUACCUCUGGUGUACCAGUUGUCGUGCCAACGGCAUCGCUGGGUAGCUAUGUAUGGACGGGAUAAGUGCUGAAAGCAUCUAAGCAUGAAGCCCCCCUCAAGAUGAGAUUUCCCAACUUCGGUUAUAAGAUCCCUCAAAGAUGAUGAGGUUAAUAGGUUCGAGGUGGAAGCAUAGCGAUAUGUGGAGCUGACGAAUACUAAUCGAUCGAAGACUUAAUCAAA